rnacentral:misc_RNA from 1 species
AAGGAUCAUUACCAAAACUUAGCUGUCUGGCCGCGAGGUCGUGACGCUUCAACCCUCUGUGAACCAAAAAACCUUUCGCUUCGGCAGCCGCCCGGUCGCUAACCCGACCGGCGUGUCAGCCUGCCGGCAGCACCAAACAAAAAACUUGCUUUGAAAAUUAUGUCUGAUAACCAAAUUUUCGAAUGAAAAUUAAAACUUUCAACAACGGAUCUCUUGGUUCCC